AUGACGUUCCACGUGAAGGGCGGGACGGUCAACGUGGUGGGAGGGGCGUGUGGAACGCUCUACGUGGUGGGAGGGGCAUGUGGGUGGUUCUACUUUGGGGACGGCGUGUGUGUGGUGGAGGAGUUCUACGUGCGGGCGGAGCGAGCGGGACGUGUGAGCGAUCUAACGUGGUGGACGGGGCCUGUGAAGUCGUUCUGCGUGUGGGUGGGGCGAGUGGCGCGCUCUACGUGGUGGGCGGGGCGAAUGGGCCGCUCUACGUGGUGGGCGGGACAUACCGAGUCGCUGAAGUUUGUGGUUUGUGUAAACUUGGCUGCUUUGUUGUUUUCUUUUCCUAUCCGUGCAUCAGAAGAUGGUAACUGUAGCUACCUCGUGACUGGUGCAGAGCGUUCCAAGCUAGGCUGUGAGCGUACUAAAACGGAAUGGUGUUUGCAGUUACCAACCAUGUUUAUCCAGCACCUGUGCCCUGUUCCUCCUGAUGUGACCACCUGGAAAUGCCUUUUCCCAAUCAGCCUGAGGGACACGAUGCACCUUUCAAAACCGCUCUUCCACAGCUUCACAGCGUAUCUGCAGCGAAUAACUCUGCCCAGCAUUAACCGCCUAAGGCACUUCACCAAUGACACAAUUCUGGACGUCUUCUUCUACAAUAGCCCCACCUACUGUCAGACUAUAGUGGACACAGUUGCUUCUGAAAUGAACCGAAUAUAUACACUUUUUCUUCAGAGGAACCCUGAUUUCAAAGGGGGUGUAUCCAUUGCCGGUCAUAGUUUAGGUUCGCUUAUAUUGUUUGAUAUACUAACAAAUCAGAAAGAAUCUUUGGGGGAUAUGGACAGUGAAAAGAAUGCACCAAAUAUUGUCGUGGAUGAAGGAGACACACACUAGAGGAAGGUUUGAGGAAACUUCAACUCUCUGAAUUCUUUAAUAUCUUUGAGAAGGAGAAAGUAGAUAAGGAAGCUCUGGCUUUAUGUACUGACAAAGAUCUUCAGGAAAUGGGAAUUCCCUUAGGACCAAGAAAGAAGAUAUUAAACUACUUUAGGACCAGAAAAAAUUCAACGGGUAUUAAUAGACCAACCCUGCAGCCAGCUUCAGGGGUGACUAUAUCUAACAUCCCCAAAGAAUCAGGGUUCUGCAGUAAAACCGACACUGCUGGAAAUGGUGACUAUCUGGAUGUUGGUAUUGGGCAGGUGUCUGUAAAAUACCCCCGGCUCAUCUACAAACCAGAAAUAUUCUUUGCCUUUGGAUCUCCCAUUGGAAUGUUCCUUACUGUCCGAGGACUAAAAAGAAUCGAUCCCAACUAUAAAUUUCCAACAUGCAAAGGUUUCUUCAAUAUCUAUCACCCUUUUGAUCCUGUGGCCUAUAGGAUUGAACCGAUGGUGGUCCCAGGAGUGGAAUUUGAGCCAAUGCUGAUCCCACAUCAUAAAGGCAGGAAGCGAAUGCACUUAGAAUUGAGAGAGGGCUUGACCAGAAUGAGUAUGGACCUUAAGAACAACUUGCUAGGUUCGCUGCGGAUGGCCUGGAAGUCUUUCACCAGAGCUCCAUACCCUGCCUUACAGGCUUCAGAAACUACAGAAGAAACUGAAGCAGAAUCUGAAUCAAGUUCAGAGAAGCUGAGUUUCCUACAUAGAGUAUCCUGUUGUCUGGAAAUAGUGAAAGUUUGA